rnacentral:rRNA from 1 species
GACGAACGCUGGCGGCGUGCCUAAUACAUGCAAGUUGAGCGCUGGCGGAUGGUACUUGUACCAACUGGAUGAGCAGCGAACGGGUGAGUAACGCGUGGAGAAGCUGCCUUUGAGCGGGGGACAACAUUUGGAAACGAAUGCUAAUACCGCAUAAAAACUUUAAACACAAGUUUUAAGUUUGAAAGAUGCAAUUGCCUCACUCAAAGAUGAUCCCGCGUUGGAUUAGCUAGUUGGUGAGGUAACGGCUCACCAAGGCGAUGAUACAUAGCCGACCUGAAAGGGUGAUCGGCCACAUUUGGACUGAGACACGGCCCAAACUCCUACGGGAGGCAGCAGUAGGGAAUCUUCGGCAAUGGACGAAAGUCUGACCGAGCAACGCCGCGUGAGUGAAGAAGGUUUUCGGAUCUGAAAACUCUGUUGGUAGAGAAGAACGUUGGUGAGGGUGGAAAGCUCAUCAAGUGACGGUAACUACCGAGAAAGGGACGGCUAACUACGUG